AUAGUGUUCUAUUUUAUUUAUGAACUUUUGGAAAAUUCAAAAAUUAUAAGGUUGAACAAAGAAGUUGGUGAAGCAUUAGACUCGUUGAGGCUAGGCCAUUUGGAAAAAAAUUCAAGGGACCAUCAUUAUGUGUGCCGCCCAAAACAAGGGACUUCCUGACAAAUUUUGAAACGAGUGACAAACAUGUGAAUCAUCAAGGUCCAUCAUUAGGUAUGCCACCAAAAACAUAGGACUUUCUGGAAAAUUUUGGGAAGAAUAACGAACAUGCAAAUCAUCAGGAGUUCAGGUCGCCUCCUGCAGAGACAUCUCUUCGUGUCAGUUUGAGGUCUCCUACUGACAGGCGCGCUUCUUCCCUUCCUUCUACCUUACUUAAGUUUGGAAUAAUAAAUGUGUGCCCAUGCCAACUGAGGAA